AUGGACAGCAGGCAGCUGUGGGCACAGCAGUCACAGCCCACUCAAGAGCAUAGGCAGCCCUUUCCCCCUGGGGGCCAGUCUAGGACCAGGGGCCAACCGGGUGCCCAGAGCAGUAACCAGCACGGAUUGCAAAUGCAGGACUGGGUGUGUGAGCCACAGGAGCACAGGCGCCCACGCCGCCACUGGAGCAUCAGCAUCGAUGAGCGCCGGCGGCUGGCCAUGCUGGGCACCCCCUCCCAAGACAGGGUGUGUGGUGGGCGGGGAGGCUGCCCUGUCCCUGGCCUCAUCUGCCCAGUCCCUGUGCCUCCCUGCCCACACAGCCUCUGACACCAAUGUUGCCCGCAGGCCAUCACGCAAAUGGUGGCAGAGCUGGUGUCUGAGGACGUGGACAAGGACGUGCUCCUCGCACAGCCACCCAGGUCUGCUGAGUCCACUAAUGCCUUCUACGACUUCCUGGCCCGGAGCACGCCCUUCUGGCAGAGUGCGACUUUGAAGAGCCAAGCCUCGGGGUCUCCCGGCUCCUAGGAGCUCUCAGACCUCAGCUUUCCAGAGCUUCUCCGUGGGGAGGUUUUGGGGGAGACCUCUGUGUCCUUGUGUCUCACCAGGGAGAAAACAGGCCUCAAAGCACUGCCUGCCUGGUGCCCUGGGGCUGCUGGGAGGUGUGGCAGCUGCCGGGGAGGGGUCCUGCCCCAGCCUCCACCACCUGGAGGGUGAGGGGCAGAGGGUCCUGCCAGCAGAUGGAGGCCUGCCUUACGCUGCCAGGAGGAAGUUCUGGGGCACCUGGGCAGCUGGGUGCCAGGCGACUCACCCUGGGGCUGACAGCACCUCCGGAGCCUUGGUCCUACCUUUGAAGGCCCAGACAGGAUUCCAGGACCCAGCAGUGAUGCGGGGUGGGGGUGGGGCAGCUGGGUGAGGCACACAGAGGGAGGCUUCCUGAGGAAGAGAGCUCCCAGUUCUGGAAGUGAACCUGGGGGUGGACUAGGGUGCAUAGAGGGUCUGGGGUGGCCUUGAGAAGCUGGCUGGACAAGUGGCCCCAGGCCUUAGGCUGGAGCCAUAACUGCCUGGUCUCAAGGCGUGGGACUGCAGAAGGGUUCUAAGCCAGGGUGACAAUCCAGGCUGCAUUUUGAGGCGAUGGAGCUGGAGGGGCCUGGGGGUGGGAGAUAGGGAAAGGAGGGAGGGUUCCCAGCCCUGCUGGCUGGCAGGACGGAGUGUGAGGAGGUGGCCCUGGACUCAGUGACUGACUUAAGGGUUGCUUGGGCUUCUGCAGGGGCAGGGCUGGUGAGGGGCUUUGGGUUGAGAGGAGGUGACAGCCACCUGGACCGUGCACAAAUUGGCAAACAGGCAGUGCUGUCCCAGAGCCCAGGCUGAGGUGCAGAUCUGGCCAUAUGGUGCCUGCUGCCCUUGAACAUUCCUCCUGCUUCUCUGCCUCCCUCACUGUAAGAUGCAGUGAAAGUUCCUCUUCCUUCAGGAAGCCUACCUACAUCACCCAGCUGGGUACUCCCUUUCCAGUUCAAUGUAAUUUUGUCCCAUUUGUUGGUCAGGAUCCCCAGGAUGGGUGGAGGGCAGGCCAUGGAGCCACAGGGACUGGUGGAGGGGAUCUAAGAGGUGGGGUUCAGACAGGGUCCUGGGGAAGGGGAACAUCAUAAUCCCUCCCCCUCCUGAGGCCCCUGACAAAGAUGUGGGAGUUGGGGUGCUCUGGGCCAGGGAAACACACAAGAGUCAUCCCAGGGCAGAGUGGGAGCUAAGUGCCAACAGUCACCACAGAGGUCGCAUGCUGUGUAGUUCUGAGUGACUUUAGAAGAUUCCGUGUUAUUUUCACUCAUGGCUGGGGGCUGACUGGGCUCAUCCUACCAAUUCUGGUCUCACCUGGGGAGUCUCCUGAGGCUGCAGCCAGGUGAGAUGCUGACUUCAUAGGGUUCCUGCAGAGCUCCUACCCACCACAGCAGCAUAAGCUGAAGUCUUGGGGUCUUGGGACUGAGCUGACCCAUGUGGGUUCAUCUGCCACCUCCUAGUGGUUGACAUGGCCACAGAGCCAGCCCUGUUCAGUGGAAAUGAGACCCAUCUGGCAGUGGGGAUCAGCGUUGAAAGCACUCCCUCUCCAGGACAGUGAGGUGCCAGGGAAGAUGGCAGUGCCUGGGGGCAGUGUGUUUACCACACCUGGGAAGAAGAGGCCAUGUAUCAGUUUCCUACUGCUGCUGUAACAGAUUAUCAUAGAUAAGUGUUUUAUGGUGCAUGCCUGUAAUCCCAGCAACUGGGGAGGCCGAGGCAGGAGGAUCUCAAGUUCCAGGCCAGCCUCACCAAUUUAGGCACCAAGAAACUUAGCAAGACUCAGAAAGUAAAAGGGCUGGGGAUGUGGCUCAGUGGUUAAGCACCCCUGGGUUCAAUCCCUGGUGUGUCUGCCCCUCUCUCUCUCUCUCACACACACACACAAACACAAAAGACAGGAUAUGGGCCUUUAGGAAGGAGCCUGAUGUCUCCCUCAGGGUACUCUGGUGGCCAUUGGGCAGUGGCCAGGGUGCUGCUUGAGGUUUGCCAGUGCACAGGGGUGGCCCGGCUGGGAAAUCCAAGAAUACAGGAAGGUCUGGGGAGUCAGGGGCUCACUUGAGAGAGAUCUACCUUGGGGUGAGUGGGAGUUCACAGCAACAGGGGGCUUUCGUCCUAGGAUAAACAGGUCUUGGGACACCAGUCAAGGGGAGGCUGGAGAGCCUGGAAGGAUUCGAGGAGGGAAGGAUCCAAGGAACAGUGCACAUGGACGCAGCCAAAGUCCCCAGCCGCAGUGCGGUUAGGUCUGGCUCUAGUCACUGCAACACCAUGCUUCUAGACUGCUUUCACUUCUGCUUGGCCACCAGGUCAGUUCCUGUCUUUACCCGGGACUCACGUGAGUGUAUCCCGCCCCCCGGAGACCCCGGCGGCUGAGCGCCUGCGCGCUUCUGGAGCAGGACAGACACCCAGAACGGAGCCGCGGGCGCGCGCGCGCACAAACGGUCUUCAAGCGCAUGCUCGCUCAGCCUUGGCCGCGGAAUCUCUGCGUCCCCAACACCCUUCUCGGCUUGUGACUGGCUGACUCCGGAUGGGGAGCAGCGGCCCCCUCUGUUCACCUGAAGCCGAAGGGGCCUCGCGCUGGCGGCCCAUCCGGGGGGAGCUGACCCUACGCAGCGCGCAGGACCGGUCGGGGUGCCUGGGAGAUGUAGUUUGCAGCUUUGCUGAGUGCCUACACAAUGCCACCACUGCCCCCGUUUAAAAGAAAUGACUUUAUUGGCUUUGCAAAUACUUGUCCGUGAUUAAACAGUGCAACAAAGAAUAUGUUUUUU
rnacentral:lncRNA from 1 species